UGCCAGCCGCCGCGGUAAUACGGAGGGAUCUAGCGUUAUUCGGAAUUACUGGGCGUAAAGCGAGCGUAGGCGGAUUUGUAAGUUGGAGGUGAAAUCCCAGAGCUUAACUCUGGAACUGCCUUCAAAACUACAUUUCUUGAGUUUGGUAGAGGAGAGUGGAAUUCCUAGUGUAGAGGUGAAAUUCGUAGAUAUUAGAAAGAACACCGGUGGCGAAAGCGCUCUACUGGACCAUUACUGACACUCAGAGGCGAAAGCUAGGGUAGCAAAAGGGAUUAGAUA
rnacentral:rRNA from 1 species